AUUGAACGCUGGCGGCAGGCCUAACACAUGCAAGUCGAACGAGUCGCGGACGGGUGAGUAGUGUGUGGGACACUGCCAGAUGGGGGGGGAUAACUAAUGGAAAGUGUAUAUAAUACCGCAUACUAUCGUGUGCGCCGAGAGUGGAUUAGCUAGUAGGUGGGGUAACGGCACACCUAGGCGACGAUCCCUAGCUGGUCUGAGAGGAGGACCAGCCACACGGGAACUGAGACACGGUCCAGACUCCUACGGGAGGCAGCAGUGGGGAAUAUUGCACAAUGGGCGCAAGCCUGAUGCAGCCAUGCCGCGUGUAUGAAGAAGGCCUUCGGGUUGUAAAGUACUUUCAGCGGGGAGGCGUUACCCGCAGAAGAAGCACCGGCUAACUCCGUGCCAGCAGCCGCGGUAAUUC
rnacentral:rRNA from 1 species